CAGGUUUUAUCUACUACAAAGGAUAUCACUUGGGAAGGAAUUUCUUGAAACUGCUCCCAAGAGAGCCAUUGGACCAUGUGGUAAACAACUCCUAGCUGAUGGAUUAUUGGGAAUAUUAACAUCAUCCAGAAUGCUAUGGGGAGAAGACAACUGGAAGCUCCGUGUGGACAAACCUCCUGGACUCUGCCCCACAUAUCUCUUCCCUUGGCUGAUUUGAAUUUGUAUCCUUUCACUGUGAUAAACCACAACCAGAUUAUUACAGCUGUCAGCAAGUUCUUCUAUUGAAUUGUUGAAACUGAGGGUGGUCUUGGGAACCCCUGAACUCUACUGUUGGUGUCAGGAGUGAGGGAAGUCUUGUGGACUGUACUCCCUGACCUCACAGGUGCAUUUUCCAACUUUAUUUGGACAUUCCCCAACAACAUCAUCCCCUUCUUCAAAUAUGUUUCUGCUACAAACAUUGUCCUUUAGAUGGUUCCUUUGCUGCCAUUAUGACUAUGGCGUAAUCUGUAGUAAAGCACCAUUAAGAUGUUAAUACAGAUGUAUGUGUGAAUUAAAAAGUGAUGCUAAAUGCAUAGUAACCAAUUUACUUCGCAUUAAUAAUUUAGCUAUUUUUAUUUGUUUCUAAACAAAAAGCAAAGAGGAUCCAGUCCAGAGAGCAGUUGCAACAGUGUGCACAAUUUUUAUUAAACCGAAAUAAAAGUUCUUGGGCUAUGGAAGUCACCUAAAUUCACUUCUCUUUUCCUAUGAACUUUCACUUUUUUUCCUUCCAACUCUAGUUAGAAGCUGACAGCUGACACGCCCUUCCUUUGUGCAUUUUAUCCUGGGACAAAAUGAGAAGACAUCCUUCAGUUCCCAUCUUGGAUGGCAUAACUUCAAAACCAAGGGAGAUGGAGGAGUUUUAGAGGAGUAGAAGGCUGCAAGCAAGAACUGAUGCAUUACAUCUCCAGUCACCUCACUCUAAGAUUGUCCUGUAGCUAAGACUGUUGAAUGAGACUGUUGUUCUUCAGUUUGCAGCCACAAAGCACGGAGGCAUCUCCCCAAGAAUCCACUGCAGGGAGGAUGAACAGCCCUUACCUGGAUUUUUGCUUUAUCUAAAAAUAUAUUUGUAGAAGAAGGAGCAUUCUAGUUUCCAAAUACAAAGGGCAAUCUCCUUCUCUGUGUGUGCACGUGCAAACAAACACACUUCUACAAGUAAGCAUUCUUCUUUAUUAUCAUAGUCAUCAUCAUCACUGGGUUGGCAACUAAAAACAAAACUACAAAACUCUCAUGUUAGCAGUUGAGUAACUUUUAAUAACCAGAUACAAACCAUUCUUCAUUGUUUACAAGGGGCAUUAAAAAGAAAAGGAGGUUGAACUGCAAUGUGAAGUGUAGUUAAAUAUGUAGACAUCUUGGAUUCUAGAAGAGUUUGUAAUGGAUUAAAGGGUUAAGCUAUGAAAUUGUUGCCCUCUGUGAUUUUUCCACACUAGAACAGACUGACAUGGUUUGAAGCAGUUGGGCUUUAACCUAUAGAUAGGAGGACAGAGAUGAUUGCCUAUGAAGCAAUUAUUAAAUAGCUGCAUUUUGGCAUGUUCUAGUUGAAAAGAUUUAGUUUUACCUAUAUCACCUCAUCAUCACUAAUUUAAUCAUCCUCAGAAAAUGCAAAAAUAAUGAUGUACAUUUGACAAGUCUUAUACAAAAUUAUGUUUCAUAGCUUUGUGGUCAGAAUUAAGCCAUGUUCUAAAAUACAAAUGAAUAGUUUACAGCCCACUAAUUCCUAACUGUAAGUGUUAAGUCUAUAUAAAAAUAAGAGACAAGCUUGUGAUCAGGAAUAGCUUCCAAUUAUGAAAAAUUUAAAUAAAAAUAAUAGAAUGUGCUUAAUUUAUUUAUCAUAUACAAAGUAGACAUAUGUGACCAAAAUGAUUCAUUAUUUUUACGAUUUUCAUGGGAAUAAGUUUGACAAUAUUAAGUGCUGGAGAUAGAAUAUCAGGUAAUCUUAAAUACUGUUCAUAGGAAUGUACAACCAUUUUGGAGAACAGUUGGAAUUAUCCAAAGAAAGCUGAAGAUUUUCCUAACUUAUAAUUUUAAAAAUUGGCACAUGCCCUCAAGUAACAGUUGCAUACCUAAGGAGACAUGUGUAAGUAUUUUUACAGCAGCAUUAUUUAUAAUAGCCCAAAUUGGAAAUAACCUAAAAUCAUAUGUUCUUACAAAGGAGUACUACACAACAGUGAAAGCAAAUAAACUAUAGCUAAAUGUUAUCUAUCUUGAAGGCAUUUAUAAGAAUAAUGAUGCUUUCACAAAGUAAAUUGCAGGAUGUUAUAUACAAUGUGAUACAAUUCAUGUAAGUUACCAAACAUGCAACACAAUACAUAACAUUGUCCAAGGAUAAGUAUAAAUGCAGUAAAGGUAUA
rnacentral:lncRNA from 1 species